GCUGGCGGGGCAGCUGCAGGUGCGCGGUCAUCUGACCCUGGAUGCCGGGGCGGUGAAGGUGCUGCGCAGUCGCGGUUCCAGCCUGCUGCCGGUG
rnacentral:tRNA from 1 species